UACCUAAACAAAUUUAAAAAGUUAAGCUUUUAAAUAACUAUUAAAGAUAUUAUCCCCUUGUAGUGUAGUUUAAUAGCUAUCUACAUAUUAACUUAAUAUAAAGUAUAAUAGUUUAUAUUUUAUAAUAUGACGUUAACAAUUUUGUUUAAUAUUUGAAAAUGUUAGUAUUAGUAAUAUUAGUAUAUGUGCUAAAGGAACUCGGCAAAAAACCACUCAACUGUUUAUCAAAAACAUAGCUAUAUGAGUUAAUAUAUAGUUAUUUCUGCUCAAUGAUUUAAAUAGCCGCAGUACUCUGACUGUGCAAAGGUAGCAUAAUCAGUUGGCUUUUAAUUAGAGUCUGGUAUGAACGAAAAUAUGGGUAGUAACUGUCUUAGCACAUUUUUUCGAACUUAUUAAACAAGUGCAAAUGCUUGUAAUUUAACAAUAGACGAGAAGACCCUAGAAACUUGGACAAGUUUUUGUUGGGGCGACAGAAUUACACUUAACUAAUCUUAUAAUACACGACGCGAUGUUGAAAGAAUAAGUUACUCUAGGGAUAACAGCAUAAUUUCAUUAGUUUGUGACCUCGAUGUUGGACUAGGUACUAUACCCUUAAGGCAAGGAUAUAUUAUGCUCUGUUCGAGCAAAAUUACCUACAUGAUCUGAGUUC
rnacentral:rRNA from 1 species